rnacentral:lncRNA from 1 species
UUAAUAGGCCCCCUUGCAGAGAGGUGGAGCAAGUGACACAGUUCUGGCCAGUGAGAGGAAAACAUACAUGCCCUGAAUGGAGUUGCCAGAAAAGCUAUUAUUUUCCUGAUAAAAGGGACAGUCUUAGCUGUCCCUUUCCCCUUAACCUUUCCUCCCACCUGGAAUGGAAAUGGAACACCUAGAAGUAGAGAGGAAAUUUGGUUAGCACGAGGGCAAAAUCCACCUGGUAAAGACGGUGCAGGAAAAAGACAGAAGGAGGAGUUCCUCCUACGGCACAGCGGGAUUGGUGACAUCUUUACAGCUUCUGGAUGCAGGUUCCAUCUGCGGCCUGGCACAGUGGCUAAAGAUCCGGCAUUGCCACAGCUGCAGCGUAGGUCACAACUUCGGCUUGGAUCUGACCCAGGCCAGGAAAUGCCAUAGGAUGCAGGGCAGCCAAAAAAAAAAAAAAAAAAGAGGAAGAACCCUGAUCCUGGGUAGCAUCUUGGAGCUUCUCACAGACCCAGGACUGCCUGUCUCUGCAUUUCCUGUUAAGAUAAAUGUAUCUCUUAACGGUUUAAAUUACGAAUUGCAUAAUUUCCUGUUUUGUUUAUUUUGUUUUUCAGCCCAAAUUCACCUUCGGUGACGCAACCUUUAACUUCAGAGCUGCUUCUUGGAACACAGAGUUUUCUCCCCUCCCCAUUCUCCCAUAAAACAGGCAUUUUACAUCCUCUCAGAAGAAAUGUUUUGACUCUCUUGGUCCCCUGUUACUGGUUCCUCACUGUGAGAAGAGGCAGGACCUCUGAGCUUGGCGGGGUUGAGAAAAGGUGUCAGGUGUGCUUUGCUCAGCCUGUUCUUGGCUCUCUCUUUGGGACUGAUCGAACUACAAGCAACAUGUGCCUCCUCCCCUGCUCGGAAGGCCUUCAAUAGUCCAGCUGCUCUGCGUUGACCAUCUCUUCCUCUGGGCUUCUGAACGAGGCCCCAGCCAGGCUCCUCUGUGUCUCCCGCAGAUCUCUGAGGCUAAGCCCACACCCAUAUCCCAGGCUAGGGGUCAAAUCGGAGCUGUAGCUGCCAACCAAGGCCACAGCCACAGCUACACGGGAUCUGAGCCUCAUCUGCGACCUAUACCACAGCUCAUGGCAAUGUUGGAUCCUUUUUUUUUUUUUAAUGAAUUUUAUUACAUUUAUAGUUGUACAACUAUCAUCAUAAAAAGCUGGAUCCUUAACCCACUGAGCAAGGACAAGGAUCGAACCCUCAUCCUCAUGGACACUAGUUGGGUUCAUUACUGCGGAGCCUCAGUGGGAACUUCUGUUUUCUGAUCUUUUAUUCCCUGCGCAUGAAGAAUUCACUUUCCUUUCCCUCUUCUGUCAUACUCCACCCCCUUCCCAGAAGAUAGGAAAACCAGAGAGAUGGAAAGCGGGGGAACAGUGAUGCCCGCAGGACACACGUGCAGGCAGGACAUGCGCACGCGCGCCUCCGACCCCAGCCUGUCCGGCUGGAAAUCCCGCCCCUUCCCCCCGCCCCCAGCCCUGUCCCGCCGCUUCCUCCUGGGUCAGAAGGGCCCUGAUGAGGCAGGCGGAGGGGUGGGGGUGCAGGUGAGGGCUCCACAG